AUGCAUAUUCACAGCAGCUUUAUUCCCAGUAGCCAAAACCUAGAAGCAAGUAUCCAUGAAUUACUAAUACACGAUAAAAACGAAUGAACUGCUGCUAUACAGAACAACACAGAUGGAUCUCAAAAUUAUUAUGCUAAGUAACAGAAUCCAGACGCAGAAGACUGCAUAAUGCAUUCAAGAUCUUCUGACGUCGUGGCAAGUGAUAAGUCCGAGGGCUGCCGUAGAGUCAACCAAGCAUUAAAAGUCAUGGGAAGCUCUAAAGCCUCUCUUAUGAUAUUAGAGACGGGGUUUCACCAUGUUGACCAGGAUGGUCUCGAUCUCUUGACCUCAUGAUCCACCCGCCUUGGCCUCCCAAAGUGCUGGGAUUACAGGCGUGAGCCACCGCACCUGGCCCAUAUAUCUUUUCAUUCUGGCACCCUGGCUGAAGAUGUGACUAAUGUUGGGGAUAUACAGGUAAUCAUGAUGAAAGGUCAGAACAAGAGGCCAGCAGUUAAGUCAUUCUGUGGCAUUGAAAGAUUCUUCUGCUCAAUGUUUUAUAGUCUCUCUUUGACCAAACUCUCUAGCCAAGGGCUUCUGAGUCCUCUUCUCAACUAGGCCUCAAUCUGGCUUACAAAAAUUGCACAC
rnacentral:lncRNA from 1 species